rnacentral:lncRNA from 1 species
AUUCAAUCAUACCAAUAAUUGCUAUUUCCACCAAUAUAUUCACCCUCAUAAUCUCCAACUGUAAUACUACGCCCUCACAACUUUCAGCACACAAUUAUCCUCGUUCCAAUCACUAGAAUUCUUCACACAGAACUACCAUUCAUAUUAUAGUGUUUCACACAAACACAAACCCAUUCUCUCUGCUGAACUACAAUCAGAUUUCAACAUUCAAUCUUUCUUCUUCUCAAAUAGUACCAAUCA